rnacentral:rRNA from 2 species
GUCAGCUCGUGUCGUGAGAUGUUGGGUUAAGUCCCGCAACGAGCGCAACCCUCGUCCUAUGUUGCCAGCACGUAAUGGUGGGAACUCAUGGGAUACUGCCGGGGUCAACUCGGAGGAAGUGGGGAUGACGUCAAAUCAUCAUGCCCCUUAUGUCUUGGGCUUCACGCAUGCUACAAUGGCCGGUACAGAGGGCUGCAAUACCGUAAGGUGGAGCGAAUCCCAAAAAGCCGGUCUCAGUUCGGAUUGAGGUCUGCAACUCGACCUCAUGAAGUCGGAGUCGCUAGUAAUCGUAGAUCAGCAACGCUACGGUGAAUACGUUCCCGGGCCUU